GAUCCACACUAAUAGGUCAAUACUUUUUGCAAGUCAAAGCAGCAAACAAAUCUUUCCCAACUUUCGUAAUCCUCGUUAAUUUCAACAAAAUUCCUGAGAAAUGAAUAAGGUUGCUGGAAUCUUUGUGGCAGUGAUGCUGGUGAUGUUGAUUGGAGACUUAAGCGCCGUUCCGGUAGAUGUUCUGAGCGCUGUGGGGUCGGCAGCAGAGAGUGAAAUGAUGGCGGAUGCGGAAGCCAUCCCACGCUUCCGCCGGUCAGGAGGAAAUUCUCGUAAUCGUCGAAGCCCCUGCACUAACGGUAGUGGCAAAUGCUGAUUCUUUCGCCAAUUAAAUAACGAUUCUGUACCACCACUCCCACAACCCUGACUUGACACAGCUAGCACAAUAUCAAUUAAUUAAACUCAACUACAUAGAUGCCAAAUGGGGUCUACAUUUGACUGGCGGAGGUUUUCCUUCCUUUUUAUGGCAAGGUUUUCCCUCUGUCCAUCUAAAUUUCCAAAAUAUAAAACCACCCGAAUUUGUUAAAAAUCUCUGGUCUUAACAGACA